UGGAAGUGAGGGAUCAUUACCCCUGUCCAGAGAGGUCUGUCUGUGUUUGGUCACAUGGAUCCACUUCUUCCAGGUCCGCACCCUCUACAUCUGGAAUGAUGACACACUCUUCUGCAAUUCUGGCUUUUAGUCCCACCGGCAGAUCAUCUUGAUGCAGUGAGCAACAUCAACCCGCACGAAACAAGCAUUUGCACCACUGGGACACUUGAGCUCUCACCCCCUGCCACAACACCCUG